UCGAGAAUUUUUCACAAUGGGCGCAAGCCUGAUGGAGCGACGCCGCGUGGGGGAUGAAGGGUUUCGAUCCGUAAACCCCUGUCAUUUGCGAACAAACCUUGAUUGUGAAUAGCGAUCGAGCUGAUUGUAGCGGAAGAGGAAGGGACGGCUAACUCUGUGCCAGCAGCCGCGGUAAUACAGAGGUCCCAAGCGUUGUUCGGAUUCACUGGGCGUAAAGGGUGCGUAGGUGGUCGGUGAAGUUCGGUGUGAAAGCUCGGAGCUCAACUCAGAAACGGCAUUGGAAACUCAUCGGCUGGAGGGUCGGAGGGGAGUCUGGAAUUCUCGGUGUAGCAGUGAAAUGCGUAGAUAUCGAGAGGAACACCAGUGGCGAAGGCGAGUCUCUGGACGAAUCCUGACACUGAGGCACGAAAGC
rnacentral:rRNA from 1 species